rnacentral:rRNA from 1 species
AAUAGAUACCCGGGUAGUCCAUGCCGUAAACGAUGUCUACUAGCCGUUGGGGUCUUUGAGACUUUAGUGGCGCAGCUAACGCGAUAAGUAGACCGCCUGGGGAGUACGGUCGCAAGACUAAAACUCAAAUGAAUUGACGGGGGCCCGCACAAGCGGUGGAGCAUGUGGUUUAAUUCGAUGCAACGCGAAGAACCUUACCUGGUCUUGACAUAGUAAGAACUUUCCAGAGAUGGAUUGGUGCCUUCGGGAACUUACAUACAGGUGCUGCAUGGCUGUCGUCAGCUCGUGUCGUGAGAUGUUGGGUUAAGUCCCGCAACGAGCGCAACCCUUUUCCUUACUUGCCAGCAUUUCGGAUGGGAACUUUAAGGAUACUGCCAGUGACAAACUGGAGGAAGGCGGGGACGACGUCAAGUCAUCAUGGCCCUUACGACCAGGGCUACACACGUGCUACAAUGGUCGGUACAAAGGGUUGCUACCUAGCGAUAGGAUGCUAAUCUCAAAAAGCCGAUCGUAGUCCGGAUUGGAGUCUGC